rnacentral:rRNA from 1 species
UCGAACGGUAACAGGAAGCAGCUUGCUGCUUUGCUGACGAGUGGCGGACGGGUGAGUAAUGUCUGGGAAACUGCCUGAUGGAGGGGGAUAACUACUGGAAACGGUAGCUAAUACCGCAUAACGUCGCAAGACCAAAGAGGGGGACCUUCGGGCCUCUUGCCAUCGGAUGUGCCCAGAUGGGAUUAGCUAGUAGGUGGGGUAACGGCUCACCUAGGCGACGAUCCCUAGCUGGUCUGAGAGGAUGACCAGCCACACUGGAACUGAGACACGGUCCAGACUCCUACGGGAGGCAGCAGUGGGGAAUAUUGCACAAUGGGCGCAAGCCUGAUGCAGCCAUGCCGCGUGUAUGAAGAAGGCCUUCGGGUUGUAAAGUACUUUCAGCGGGGAGGAAGGGAGUAAAGUUAAUACCUUUGCUCAUUGACGUUACCCGCAGAAGAAGCACCGGCUAACUCCGUGCCAGCAGCCGCGGUAAUACGGAGGGUGCAAGCGUUAAUCGGAAUUACUGGGCGUAAAGCGCACGCAGGCGGUUUGUUAAGUCAGAUGUGAAAUCCCCGGGCUCAACCUGGGAACUGCAUCUGAUACUGGCAAGCUUGAGUCUCGUAGAGGGGGGUAGAAUUCCAGGUGUAGCGGUGAAAUGCGUAGAGAUCUGGAGGAAUACCGGUGGCGAAGGCGGCCCCCUGGACGAAGACUGACGCUCAGGUGCGAAAG